rnacentral:siRNA from 1 species
AAUGUCGUCUUUGGGUGCUCUU